CUUGAGCGACCCCAGGUACAGCGGACGACCGGGCCGCCUGUCCCGCCCGUAUGUGGCCAGCAGCGCCUGGGCCUC
rnacentral:antisense_RNA from 1 species